AGGGUUUGAUUAUGGCUCAGAUUGAACGCUGGCGGCAGGCCUAACACAUGCAAGUCGAGCGGUAGAGAGGUGCUUGCACCUCUUGAGAGCGGCGGACGGGUGAGUAAUGCCUAGGAAUCUGCCUGGUAGUGGGGGACAACGUUUCGAAAGGAACGCUAAUACCGCAUACGUCCUACGGGAGAAAGCAGGGGACCUUCGGGCCUUGCGCUAUCAGAUGAGCCUAGGUCGGAUUAGCUAGUUGGUGAGGUAAUGGCUCACCAAGGCGACGAUCCGUAACUGGUCUGAGAGGAUGAUCAGUCACACUGGAACUGAGACACGGUCCAGACUCCUACGGGAGGCAGCAGUGGGGAAUAUUGGACAAUGGGCGAAAGCCUGAUCCAGCCAUGCCGCGUGUGUGAAGAAGGUCUUCGGAUUGUAAAGCACUUUAAGUUGGGAGGAAGGGCAUUAACCUAAUACGUUAGUGUUUUGACGUUACCGACAGAAUAAGCACCGGCUAACUCUGUGCCAGCAGCCGCGGUAAUACAGAGGGUGCAAGCGUUAAUCGGAAUUACUGGGCGUAAAGCGCGCGUAGGUGGUUUGUUAAGUUGGAUGUGAAAGCCCCGGGCUCAACCUGGGAACUGCAUUCAAAACUGACAAGCUAGAGUAUGGUAGAGGGUGGUGGAAUUUCCUGUGUAGCGGUGAAAUGCGUAGAUAUAGGAAGGAACACCAGUGGCGAAGGCGACCACCUGGACUGAUACUGACACUGAGGUGCGAAAGCGUGGGGAGCAAACAGGAUUAGAUACCCUGGUAGUCCACGCCGUAAACGAUGUCAACUAGCCGUUGGGAGCCUUGAGCUCUUAGUGGCGCAGCUAACGCAUUAAGUUGACCGCCUGGGGAGUACGGCCGCAAGGUUAAAACUCAAAUGAAUUGACGGGGGCCCGCACAAGCGGUGGAGCAUGUGGUUUAAUUC
rnacentral:rRNA from 1 species